rnacentral:rRNA from 1 species
UACGUAGGUGGCAAGCGUUGUCCGGAAUUAUUGGGCGUAAAGCGCGCGCAGGCGGCAGUGUAAGUAAGGUGUGAAAUAUCCCGGCUCAACCGGGAGGGUGCACUUUAGACUACACAGCUUGAGGUCGGUAGAGGGGGGUAGAAUUGCUGGUGUAGCGGUGAAAUGCGUAGAGAUCAGCAGGAAUACCCGUGGCGAAGGCGGCCCCCUGGGCCGUACCUGACGCUGAGGCGCGAAGGCUAGGGGAGCGAACGGG